rnacentral:lncRNA from 1 species
GAUACGAAUGAAUUAUGGUGUGUAUUGAUUAGAAAUCACGUCAUGAUAAAUCUGUAUUAGUGAGUAGAAAUAGAAUCCCAAUUCAUUAAUAUUAUUUAUACCUUGGGAAAUACAAGUUAAUCCUAUUAUUGCUCCUAAUCCUUCUCAUCCAUCGACAAUCAUCAAUUUCAUCAUCUUCUUUUAUUUUCACAAUUCCAAUUUAAAUAAACAAUAACUAUAAGCAAAUUGCUCGGGCCCCUAACUAGUAACUGGGACUCGUAAUAGAUAUAUCAUUCAUCCCCCUCACAUCCAAUCAAAACUGUUCAAACUUCAAAGCGUAGUUUUCAAUGCAUUUUGAAGGAAUCACGCAACACUACUAAUAUGGUCCGUCACAAAUAAUCCUUUUAAUUCAUAUACAGUACAUUUCUUCAUCAAGAGGUCGAGAAGAGGAUUGUACUAGAGUUUUAGAACUAGAUCAAGAUGGGGACCUCGUCCAUGAAAGUCUGCGUGUAUUUCUGAAUAUGAUAUAUAACUUAUCACAAUCAUAGAUUAUGUUGUGCCCACUUCGACCCUUCACUUGUGCUUCCCUCACUGUACCUCGAGGAAACAACUCGGUUCUUUGUAGUAAUUAACCAUCUUCAUACUACUGGGAGGAUUUUGUAUCCUAACGAAUGGAAGUAAAAAUAUGGAUUCAAGACCCUUCCAAAAUAAAACAUGAUUUUUAGUGGUUGAUAAAUACAAGAAUCCGAUUGAUCUGUUGAGUUGUCGAGCUUUGAGGAUUGAACAGGAUAAGGAGAUCUUUACAGUUUGUGUCAAAUUCAAACUCAGAAAGUCCAUGCCUUGGAUGCAAUAUUGGACAUCGAUAACUAUGAAAUUAUAAGGAACUUCGUUCUUAAAGAGCGAAUCGAAAUAGAUAAUAUUAAUUCUUGUUUUUGUAAAUAUAAAUGAUAAAAAUAUA